GACGUAGGGCGCGAGCGUUGUCCGGAUUUAUUGGGCGUAAAGAGCUCGUAGGCGGCUCAUUGCGUCAACCGUGAAAACCUGCCGCUCAACGGUAGGCUUGCGGUUGAUACGGGUGGGCUGGAGUUCGGUAGGGGAGACUGGAAUUCCUGGUGUAGCGGUGAAAUGCGCAGAUAUCAGGAGGAACACCGGUGGCGAAGGCGGGUCUCUGGGCCGAUACUGACGCUGAGGAGCGAAAGCGUGGGGAGCGAACAGG
rnacentral:rRNA from 1 species